ACGCUGGCGGCGUGCCUAAUACAUGCAAGUAGAACGCUGAAGGAGGAGCUUGCUUCUCCGGAUGAGUUGCGAACGGGUGAGUAACGCGUAGGUAACCUGCCUGGYAGCGGGGGAUAACUAUUGGAAACGAUAGCUAAUACCGCAUAAUAUUGAUUAUUGCAUGAUAGUCAAUUAAAAGGUGCAAUUGCAUCACUACCAGAUGGACCUGCGUUGUAUUAGCUAGUUGGUGAGGUAACGGCUCACCAAGGCAACGAUACAUAGCCGACCUGAGAGGGUGAUCGGCCACACUGGGACUGAGACACGGCCCAGACUCCUACGGGAGGCAGCAGUAGGGAAUCUUCGGCAAUGGACGGAAGUCUGACCGAGCAACGCCGCGUGAGUGAAGAAGGUUUUCGGAUCGUAAAGCUCUGUUGUAAGAGAAGAACGAGUGUGAGAGUGGAAAGUUCACACUGUGACGGUAUCUUACCAGAAAGGGACGGCUAACUACGUGCCAGCAGCCGCGGUAAUACGUAGGUCCCGAGCGUUGUCCGGAUUUAUUGGGCGUAAAGCGAGCGCAGGCGGUUAGAUAAGUCUGAAGUUAAAGGCUGUGGCUUAACCAUAGUACGCUUUGGAAACUGUUUAACUUGAGUGCAAGAGGGGAGAGUGGAAUUCCAUGUGUAGCGGUGAAAUGCGUAGAUAUAUGGAGGAACACCGGUGGCGAAAGCGGCU
rnacentral:rRNA from 1 species